GGGGAAUCAGGACUGUUACUUUGAAAAAAUUAGAGUGUUUAAAGCAGGCUCACGCUUGAAU
rnacentral:rRNA from 1 species